AACGAACGCUGGCGGCAUGCCUAACACAUGCAAGUCGAACGAAGCCUUCGGGCUUAGUGGCGCACGGGUGCGUAACGCGUGGGAAUCUGCCCUUGGGUUUGGAAUAACAGUUAGAAAUGACUGCUAAUACCGGAUGAUGUCUUCGGACCAAAGAUUUAUCGCACAAGUUUGUGCACGCGUCGGAUUAGCUAGUUGGUGAGGUAAAGGCUCACUAAGGCGACGAUCCGUAGCUGGUCUGAGAGGAUGAUCAGCCACACUGGGACUGAGACACGGCCCAGACUCCUACGGGAUGCAGCAGUGGGUAAUAUUGGACAAUGGGCGAAAGCCUGAUCCAGCAAUGCCGCGUGAGUUAUGAAGGCCUUAGGGUUGUAAAGCUCUUUUACCCGGGAUGAUAAUGACAGUACCGGGAGAAUAAGCCCCGGCUAACUCCGUG
rnacentral:rRNA from 1 species